ACUACCAAAAGCUAAUAAAACCUAAAGAAAUUCCCAUUUCUAGCGGAACAUCACAACACGUGAAUUAUCUACCUUUUAAUUCAGAAUAAUUAUUUUUAUAAAAAUACUGAAUAAAUAAAUUAAAGUUUUUAACGUUAAAAGAUGAGUUUGCGCAAGAUUAAUGGUAGUUGGUUGUUUAAUAGACUACUAAGCCUAUUAUCUUUAGCUGGUUUGAAAGAAUGAUCAGCCACAUUGGGACUGAGACACGGCCCAAACUUUUUUAAAGGCAGCAGUGGGGAAUUUUGGACAAUGAGCGAAAGCUUGAUCCAG
rnacentral:ncRNA from 1 species